rnacentral:tRNA from 1 species
AAGGGAGACCUAAUUCAGGUAGGAGACGAAAAAAAAGUAGUCCCUACCAGGAAUCAAUCCCAAAAGGUCGGAGCGAGGCGAAAUUGGCUUUCAAACUAGGUUCUGGGUUCAAACAAGACCUGAAUCAGGAACAAGGGCUAUUAGCUCAGGUGGUUAGAGCGCACCCCUGAUAAGGGUGAGGUCCCUGGUUCGAGUCCAGGAUGGCCCACCUGCACAGGUGGCAAAAACAAGAGAAGYGAGGAAUCAGCACCUUAUCUUACUGACAUAGUAAGAGAGAAUGCUGGCUCUGAGUAAAGAGUCCAGAGGAACCUUGAAAACUGCAUAGAGCUAGGUGAAAAAGCCAAAAAAGAAGACCGCAA